rnacentral:rRNA from 1 species
UACGAAGGGGGCUAGCGUUGCUCGGAAUCACUGGGCGUAAAGCGCACGUAGGCGGAUCUUUAAGUCAGAGGUGAAAUCCCAAGGCUCAACCUUGGAACUGCCUUUGAUACUGGGGAUCUCGAGUCCGGAAGAGGUGAGUGGAACUCCGAGUGUAGAGGUGAAAUUCGUAGAUAUUCGGAAGAACACCAGUGGCGAAGGCGGCUCACUGGUCCGGUACUGACGCUGAGGAGCGAAAGCAUGGGGAGCGAACAGG